rnacentral:rRNA from 1 species
CCUACGGGAGGCAGCAGUGAGGAAUAUUGGUCAAUGGUCGGGAGACUGAACCAGCCAAGCCGCGUGAGGGAUGAAGGUACAGAGUAUUGUAAACCUCUUUUGUCAGGGAACAAAGGCGGGGACGUGUCCCCGGAUGAGUGUACCUGAAGAAAAAGCAUCGGCUAACUCCGUGCCAGCAGCCGCGGUAAUACGGAGGAUGCGAGCGUUAUCCGGAUUUAUUGGGUUUAAAGGGUGCGCAGGCGGCCUGGUAAGUCAGCGGUCAAAGCCCGGGGCUCAACCCCGGCCCGCCGUUGAAACUGGCAGUCUCGAGUUGGAGAGAAGUAUGCGGAAUGCGCGGUGUAGCGGUGAAAUGCAUAGAUAUCGCGCAGAACUCCGAUUGCGAAGGCAGCAUGCCGGCUCCACACUGACGCUGAGGCACGAAAGCGUGGGUAUCGAACAGGAUUAGAUACCCUUGUAGUC